AAAAAAAGAAAUAGAAUUAAGGCUUAACAGUUGCUUUCAAUACUAUUUUGCAGUAGUUCGCGCGACCAAAAAAAAAGAACCCUCUUCCUAGCCUAAAGAAAACCCAGCAAAUUUCUCUGAUUUCAUAAGAAAAACCUUCAAGUCUCCCUCUUGGAAUAAGGUUUCUUCAAUAUCAGAAGUUUUGUUCAAAGAUUUCAAAUUUCUAAGUUAUCUAAAUGGAUAGAAGUUGGAUGAAACUCAAUCAAAGAUUCAGCCCUGCAUACAUUCAAGGUGUACAUAAUUUCAUGGAAGUUGACUCUGCUAAUAGAAUUCGAUGUCCAUUCAAAAAAAUGUAAUAAUUAUAUCUUCAAAACUCUAUUAGAAGUCAAAAGUGAUUUAUUUCGAUAUGGAAUUUUUGAGGAUUAUACUUGUUGGAUA